CCUACGGGAUGCAGCAGUGAGGAAUAUUGGUCAAUGGGCGAGAGCCUGAACCAGCCAAGCAGCGUGAAGGAUGACUGCCCUACGGGUUGUAAACUUUGUUCAUAAAGGAAUAAAGUGAGGGAAGUGUGCCUUCUAGUAAGGACUUUAUGAAUAAGAAUCGGCUAACUAAGUGGCAGCAGCCGCGGUAAUACGGAGGAUCCGAGCGUUAUCCGGAUUUAUUGGGGGUAAAGGGAGCGUAGGUGGGUUGUUAAGUCAGUUGAGAAAGUUUGCGGCUCAACCUUAAGAUUGCAAUUGAUACUGGUUGCCUUGAGUACAGUAGAGGUAGGCGGAAUUCGUGGUGUAGCGGUGAAAUGCUUAGAUAUUACGAAGAACUCCGAUUGCGAAGGCAGCCUACUAAACUGCCACUGACAUUGAUGCUCGAAAGUGUGGGUAUCAAACAGGAUUAGAUACCCUUGUAGUC
rnacentral:rRNA from 1 species